rnacentral:rRNA from 1 species
GGGCGCAGGAAAUUUGAGAGGAGCUGUCCUUAGUACGAGAGGACCGGGAUGGACGCACCGCUGGUGUACCAGUUGUUCUGCCAAGGGCAUCGCUGGGUAGCUAUGUGCGGACGGGAUAAGUGCUGAAGCAUCUAAGCAUGAAGCCCCCUCAAGAUGAGAUUUCCCAUUCCUAUAAGGAAGUAAGAUCCCUGAAAGAUGAUCAGGUUGAUAGGUCUGAGGUGGAAGUGUGGCGACACAUGGAGCUGACAGAUA